UACGUAGGGCGCAAGCGUUAUCCGGAAUUAUUGGGCGUAAAGAGCUCGUAGGCGGUUUGUCGCGUCUGCCGUGAAAGUCCGGGGCUCAACUCCGGAUCUGCGGUGGGUACGGGCAGACUAGAGUGAUGUAGGGGAGACUGGAAUUCCUGGUGUAGCGGUGAAAUGCGUAGAUAUCUGGAGGAAUACCGGUGGCGAAGGCGGUUCUCUGGGCCUUACCUGACGCUGAGGAGCGAAAGCGUGGGGAGCGAACAGGAUUAGAUACCCGUGG
rnacentral:rRNA from 1 species